UACGUAGGCAGCGAGCGUUGUUCGGAGUUACUGGGCGUAAAGGGUGUGUAGGCGGUUUUCUAAGGUUGGUGUGAAAUCUCCCGGCUUAACCGGGAGGGUGCGCCGAAAACUGGGAGACUAGAGUGCGGGAUGGGAGAGUAGAAUUCCUGGUGUAGCGGUGAAAUGCGUAGAUAUCAGGAGGAAUACCGGUGGUGCAGACGGCUCUCUGGACCGCAACUGACGCUGAGACACGAAAGCGUGGGUAGCAAACAGG
rnacentral:rRNA from 1 species